UAAUCAUGGACAGGGGAAACGCUGAAUAGGAAAUGUAAAUGCGUGAGAGAAGAGGAAGAUUGAAAAAGAGAGAACCUUUUGCUUUUCUUUUAUGUAACGUGUAGUAUAAUAACCAGUCAUUUUCCAGCAAAUAUCCAUCUGCCGUUUUCUUCAUGGUCUCACCACGUGACUCAAGCUCUCUGGUCCUUCUCUGCCCAUCCCUUCCUGUGCCUCAUCCCUUGAUAAAUUAAUCGAUAAUCUUUCUUUUUUCUUAAGUAAAUUCAUAUGGUUAAGCUAAGCAAAGAGCCACAGACAUUGACAAAUCUAAGAAAAUCCUAGUCCUUUCUCCUUUCUCUCCCUGCUUAUAGUUUUGUAACAUAAACGGCUCCUGGCAGCUAAAACUGUGUGCCCAGAUUGGAGAGGAAAGAAGCAAGCUUUUGGGGCAUAUAUUUUGGAAGAUGGGGUCUUGAGUUUAUCUUCAACUGGCUACAAAGGUACUUUAUCUUUUGUACUGUGCUUAUUCUUUUUGCCUUCAAUCAAAGAAGUUCCAAAAUUGUUAAAUAUAAGCCUGCUUUUGUUGGCAAAAUGAGGGACUUUCCUUCUUGUUUUGGCGAGAGUGGAGUUCAAGUAGCUGAUUCAUCUUUGUCAAGUACAACAAAAGCUGCUCAAAAUUUGGUCACUUGUGUCUAUCAAUGUAAAUUGCGUGGUCGUUCUUGUUUAAUUACCGUUACUUGGACCAAGAAUCUCAUGGGCCAAGGUGUCGGGGUUGCAAUUGACGAUUCAAACAGUCAGUGUCUUUGUAAAGUUGAUAUAAAACCUUGGCUGUUCUCUAAAAGAAAAGGGUACAAGAAUUUAGAGGUAGAUUCUGACAAGGUAAUUAUAAAUUGGGACAUGUCCAAUGCUAAAUUUGGUUCCGGGCCUGAGCCUUUGGAGGGGUUUUAUUUGGCCAUUACUUUUAAUCUAGAAAUGGUGUUACUUCUCGGGGACAUGAAGAAGGAAGCAUACAAGAAGAUUGAAAGUCCUCCGGUGCACUCCAAGGCCAUUUUCAUCGCUAGAAGAGAGCAUAUUUUUGGGAAGAAGUUCUAUAGUGCAAAAGCUCAGUUUUCUGACAGGGGCCAGAUGCAUGAUAUUACAAUUGAAUGCGAUACAUUUGAUCUGAAGGAUCCCUGUCUUGUGAUCCGCAUUGAUGGUGAGAUGGUAAUGCAGGUCAAAAGACUGAAAUGGAAGUUCCGGGGCAACUAUACUAUAUUGGUGGAUGGGCUCCCAGUUGAAGUGUUUUGGGAUGUUCAUAAUUGGCUAUUUGGUAAUGCUAUGGGCAAUGCAGUUUUCAUGUUCCAAACUUGCUUAUCAGCGGAGAAAUUAUGGAUCAAUCAAUCCAUUUUCGAUCCCUCUGUACUGACCUGGUCAUCCUCGCAGAAACUCAGAGAUUGCCAAUUGCAAGGUCUUGGUUUCUCCCUUAUAUUGUAUGCUUGGAAGAAUGAAUAAGUUUUUUCCACCAUCGAGUCUUAUCAGAUAGGUCUUGCAAUGUAUUUUUUUUUAAAAAAAAAAGAAUGAUGUGAUAUAGAUACAGGUAUUGCAAUUGGAAGUUUACCCAUUCGUUUCUUUUUCUCCCCUCCUCUCGUCAACUUACAUGUAUUAUAUGAUUGCACUAACCCAAUGCUCUUCAUCAAUUGCUU